CUAAUAUAUUGGUAUGCAUGAACCAACUGGUGAAGAAAGGAUUGUGACCUUUACCAAACCUUGCAUUUCCCACAUGAUUGAAAGAAUCGUCCCCACAAUUAUCAUUGAACUGCAUUGCUUUUGGGGGAAUCCCAAACUAAAGAUCAUGAUUUGAUCACAAAAUCAUAUCUGGCUUUGAAACUGGCAGUUUUCCAUCCUGUACAUCAACAGCAACAAGGAAUACUUAGAAACCAGAUCUUCACAGUUUGCCAACAUGUAGUAUUUUGAAGCUAUUAGAAGGAAAGCUGUUCUGAUAACCUCCUAUCAGUCUUCUUACAAACUGAGGCCAGCUAGAUUAUUGUUUAAUUACUUUCAGGAAUGAUCGAAACUGAGUUUCUGUUCAAAUACUGGCUAGACAAAAUGGUUUUUUGAUUGAUCAUAUGUGAACCACUAGUGCUAGUAUUUUAUUCUUUCACAGUGAGCUAUUCAUUUGUUUGGUGUUUUCAAGUUGUUAUGUAUGCUUUGCUAUAUGCUUGGGAUUCUAUUGCCUGCUCAACUACUUGGAUAUUGGUGGAUCAUCUCUAGGGCAGGAUAUGAGUCUAGCCAAGCCCAAACAGGGUCCGGCUCGUUUUCAGUGAGUUGAGGCUCAAGCUUAGGCUCGGGCUUGUUGAACACGUGUUCGUAUUUGACUCUCUUCAUAAUUUUAGUGUUUAUGAUCAAUUCGCACUCAACUCGAGUUUGUGUGCUCUAACUCAAGUUCGCUUUGAUCGACUUUAAGCUUGCAUCUUAGACUCAAUUGUACGACGUCGGUUCAGAGUUUAUUUAUUAACAAAACUGAGCCGUGCAGGAGCAAGGCACUUGUUCGGGUUUGGGCUUGGACUCGUUUUCAUUCGUACUCCCAAGCUCGUAUUCAGGCUUGCUAUCUCAUGUUCAUGUUUGGAUUCGUUUGAGUAAAACUCGUUUUGUGCCCCGAACAAGCUCCCUUCAAAUUCAGCCCUAAUCAUCUCCUCCAGCUACCACUUUGCGAAAGCCUUAUCGUGAUGCCAGGGCAUUAGUGAUGAGUUUUAUUGUUAAUAAUGAAGUGUCUACAUGUUGUAUUCCUCUGUAAUCCACCUUUUCAUGAAAUUCAAAAUAAGAAGUUUUGUUAUUAUUUUGAAGAUCAUGCAGAGUCACUCAUCUUUUGGUUGCUCAAUUGUGUGCUAUUAAUUAUCUUGUGACUUUAAUUUCAUAUAUCUUGCCCUGUAUUUCGGCAUCUUGUUAAAUUGGUUUUGUAAAUAAGUAUCAGAAUGUGAAACUUCCUAUUCCUUUGAAAACUUUUAAAAGUUCUGGCAGAUUCUUUGAUAAUAAUCCAUGAUACUGUGGUCCAUUUUUAAUGUGCUGAGCUAGGGGACCUUUAACAAUUAUUGUCACUGUAUCCCAGUGACUGAAAAACUCCGGAGAGCAAGAUACUCUUAACUGUUACCUCUGAUUGCAGUUUCUAAAGUAUUCUCUCUUAUUUUCUUUUUCGUCGGUGGGACUCGUGGAGCCUGUUUGAAUGCAUCCUUUGAAAAAUUGCCUGCAACAGUGUUCAGUACAUUUGCUUAGAUGUUAAACCAAAAUGCCAUUGAAGCUAGAAAUCUGUAACUCCAAGCAAAGCUGAUAUAUGCUUUUUGCCAUCGAAUAGUUUCUGUAUCAUUCAAGGUCAUUGAUGGAGUCAUCUGUUUUCUGUUUCUCCAAACAUCUCUUCGAAUAUAUUCAUAUACAUGUUUUAGUUGCUUUUGUUUCUGUUUCUCCAAAACAUCUCUGAAUAUAUUCAUAUGCGUGUCUUAGAUGCUUUUUUCUUUGAUAGGUUGCUGUAUUUGUCCAUUGCUUGUAAAUGUUGUAUCUGGAGAAAGAAAGCUUGUGUUUUCUAGCAAAUUUUGAUCAAUUAUCUCCUAGGUUGUGCCAACAAUCGGCACUUCUCUUCUAAUUGUUCAAUAUUGGCACAAGACCCUAUGAAUACAUUGUCCCCAAGCCAAGCCAAGAAAGGGAGCUCAAAUGGACCCAGUUAACAAAUAAAGCAACAAGGCUAAUAAAGUUUUCUGUCUUAUUGGCCAUGCUUCUUAGUCUCUCUCUUUCUCUUGAUAGUGUUGCUACUAUUUCUCCCCACCUUUAAAUGCAGCCAAUACUCCUUACCCGCCAGGUUAAAAACAUCUUAAGAUACUAGUCUUGCACAAGCUUUCCCUUCACAUCUUUUUUCUUAUUUUGUUAACUCCUUGUAUAAUAUCUUUAUCUACAAUACAAUCCUCUCAACACCAGCAUGGUUUUCAGUUCCGUGUUCUAUGUUUUGAGUGCCCAGCCAUCAUGCUUCGUUGAGAGCUUGUAGGAGACAAGAAGCCAGUAGGAGAUAUGACGAGUGGCAGCUGGGGUUUGAGAGUUUGUUUAGUAGCUGUUGUAUUGUUUGGGAUCAUUUGGCUUUUGUUUAUUGGAAUUUUAGCAAACCAUGCAACCACAACCACCACCACAACAGUGACAGUACCUUCAACUGAAGUUUUCAGGGACUGGAAGUUGAUUCAAAGAGAGAAGCUUCACGCUCAUCAGGACUUCGAUCUUCAUUAUGUCAGCAAGAGAAGAGUACCCAAUGGACCUGAUCCCAUCCACAACAGGAGAGUGGUAAAGUCUAGACAACCACCAGGCAAAAUCUGACUGCGGAUUCUGUGAAAGAAGCUUCAAGCUUCUGCAAAGACAAUGUACAAGAAAUUCUUAUAUUUUAAGUGCUUUAUCAACCCUUAUAAAAUCUGUAAGUUGAGAUGUGUUCCUCUAAAUUCAUGAUAUGGCAAAGCUUUGGAAAUGGGGGCUUAAGGCUGUUCUCAAAA